UACGUAGGGUGCAAGCGUUGUCCGGAAUUAUUGGGCGUAAAGAGCUUGUAGGCGGUUUGUCGCGUCUGCUGUCGAAAUCUCAAGGCUCAACUUCGAGCUUGCAGUGGGUACGUGCGGACUUGAGUGCGGAAGAGGGUCGUGGAAUUCCCAGUGUAGAGGUGAAAUUCGUAGAUAUUGGGAAGAACACCGGUGGCGAAGGCGGCGACCUGGUCCGAUACUGACGCUGAGGCGCGAAGCGUGGGAGCAAACAGG
rnacentral:rRNA from 1 species